rnacentral:rRNA from 1 species
UACAGAGGUGGCAAGCGUUGUUCGGAUUUACUGGGCGUAAAGGGUGCGUAGGUGGCUUCGUGUGUCGGGCGUGAAAGCCCACCGCUUAACGGUGGAACGCCGUCCGAAACUGCGGGGCUCGAGUGCAGAAGAGGAGAGCGGAAUUCUCGGUGUAGCGGUGGAAUGCGUUGAUAUCGAGAAGAACACCAGUGGCGUAGGCGGCUCUCUGGAAUGCAACUGACACUGAGGCACGAAAGCGUGGGGAG